AGCUCCACAGCUUGUCCCUUCCUGCCACCCUACCCACUCUCCACAACCAGAGCAGGAGCCGCAGGCUAGAAGGGGCCGAGCUGAAGUCCUGAGCCUGGGGUGUAACAGAGCCAUGCAGGGAGCUGGGGAAACAUGAGUUCUCGGCCUCACCUGGAGACGCAGAGUCUCUAGAAGGGAGUGGUCCUGUGCCCUCCACAGGUGCUGGGGACUGGGAGGACUGAUCUGCUGAGGAGGGGCCAGGCUCCAGGUUCUGGUGCUCGCCAGCUGGGGGCCUCAUCUGGAAGAGGUGCAUGAUGCUCCCUGCCUGCCUUGCUGGGCCCUUUGAGGCCCCAGAGAGACAGUAGGCUGCACAGAAGCUUCUCCGCUCACCAAGUGUGCUCCCUCUGUGUGC
rnacentral:lncRNA from 1 species